GACGAACGCUGGCGGCGUGCUUAACACAUGCAAGUCGAACGAAAAGAGGGAAAGAGCUUGCUCUUUCCGGAAUUGAGUGGCAAACGGGUGAGUAACACGUAAACAACCUGCCUUCAGGAUGGGGACAACAGACGGAAACGACUGCUAAUACCGAAUAAGUUCCAAGGGCCGCAUGGCCCAUGGAAGAAAAGGUGGCCUCUACCUGUAAGCUAUCGCCUGAAGAGGGGUUUGCGUCUGAUUAGCUGGUUGGCGGGGUAACGGCCCACCAAGGCGACGAUCAGUAGCCGGUCUGAGAGGAUGAACGGCCACACUGGAAUUGAGACACGGUCCAGACGGCUACGGGAGGCAGCAGUGGGGAAUCUUCCGCAAUGGGCGAAAGCCUGACGGAGAAACGCCGCGUGAGUGAUGACGGCCUUCGGGUUGUAAAACUCUGUGAUCCGGGACGAAAAGGCAGAGUGCGAAGAACAAACUGCGUUGACGGUACCGGAAAAGCAAGCCACGGCUAACUACGUG
rnacentral:rRNA from 1 species